UACGUAGGGUGCAAGCGUUGUUCGGAUUCAUUGGGCGUAAAGGGUGCGUAGGCGGCGCGGUAAGUCGGGUGUGAAAUCUCGGAGCUUAACUCCGAAACUGCAUUCAAUACUGCCGUGCUUGAGGACUGGAGAGGAGACUGGAAUUUACGGUGUAGCGGUGAAAUGCGUAGAUAUCGUAAGGAAGACCAGUGGCGAAGGCGGGUCUCUGGACAGUUCCUGACGCUGAGGCACGAAGGUCAGGGGAGCAAACGGG
rnacentral:rRNA from 1 species